UUCCGGUUCCCUCCAUUUUCCAAGCUGACCAGGAAUCUUCAGUUACCGGUUCCGUCCAAUUUCGAAGCUGACCAGGAAUGAUAAAAGAUAGAGCGUGAUCUGCAAUAAUGCGUGUAGAAAACGGACAAAAUACGUGGGGGCACUAAUGGACGAAGCUCAGGCAACAUGGAAGCAGACCAUGGGCAGUGGUGGACUGUGCAGUUUCUCUGGCGGGAAGGAGCGACUGCUUCACACAUUCACAUGAGGUUAGCAGCCGUGUGUGGGGAAGCAGCACCAAGCCAUGCGGGUAAAACCUUCACCUCCAACGACAAGCUUCAGGUAGUUUUCCCACAGUGGCGCCAGGAUACCCAGAAAGAAGGGUUUGCUAUGCAAAUGUGGAAACUGCCAGAAUGAUGGCAGAGGUGCAUAGACAUUGGCUGGAAAUACCUCUAAUAUAAUCUCUAUGUAUUUUGUUCCAAUAAAUGGUUACUGUGAAGAAAAAACA